rnacentral:rRNA from 1 species
GAUGAACGCUGGCGGCGUGCCUAAUACAUGCAAGUCGAGCGAACAGACGAGGAGCUUGCUCCUCUGACGUUAGCGGCGGACGGGUGAGUAACACGUGGAUAACCUACCUAUAAGACUGGGUUAACUUCGGGAAACCGGAGCUAAUACCGGAUAAUAUAUUGAACCGCAUGGUUCAAUAUUGAAAGACGGUUUUGCUGUCACUUAUAGAUGGAUCCGCGCCGCAUUAGCUAGUUGGUAAGGUAACGGCUUACCAAGGCGACGAUGCGUAGCCGACCUGAGAGGGUGAUCGGCCACACUGGAACUGAGACACGGUCCAGACUCCUACGGGAGGCAGCAGUAGGGAAUCUUCCGCAAUGGGCGAAAGCCUGACGGAGCAACGCCGCGUGAGUGAUGAAGGUCUUCGGAUCGUAAAACUCUGUUAUUAGGGAAGAACAAAUGUGUAAGUAACUAUGCACGUCUUGACGGUACCUAAUCAGAAAGCCACGGCUAACUACGUG